rnacentral:rRNA from 1 species
UCAGCAACGGAUCUCUUGGCUCUCGCAUCGAUGAAGAACGCAGCGAAAUGCGAUAAGUAAUGUGAAUUGCAGAAUUCAGUGAAUCAUCGAAUCUUUGAACGCACCUUGCGCUCCUUGGUAUUCCGAGGAGCAUGCCUGUUUGAGUGUCA